rnacentral:rRNA from 1 species
UACGUAGGGUGCAAGCGUUAAUCGGAAUUACUGGGCGUAAAGCGUGCGCAGGCGGUUAUGUAAGACAGAUGUGAAAUGCCCGGGCUUAACCUGGGAACUGCAUUUGUGACUGCAUGGCUAGAGUUUGGCAGAGGGGGGUAGAAUUCCACGUGUAGCAGUGAAAUGCGUAGAGAUGUGGAGGAAUACCGAUGGCGAAGGCAGCCUCCUGGGCCAACACUGACGCUCAUGCACGAAAGCGUGGGGAGCAAACAGG